GACUUUGGAGCACAUAACACAUCCGCAAUUGAGAGCACCAGCAUUUUGCAGCUGAAAAACAACAGAAGCAAUAAAGAGGUUUCGUGAGAGCAAGCAGUUGUAUUUCUCUGUCUCUCUCAACUUCAGAACACAUUUUUCUUCUACACACAUUGCAGUUGAAGUCCAUAUCCAAAAUUCAAAUUCCUUCAUAACAAUAUCGUCAAAGGUCGAUCGAUUGAUCAAUUUUUUUUCAAAAGAAAAAAAUAAGGUAAGAACCUUCAAAAAUGGCGAACCUUCCACAGAUCGCGGUUCUGGGAGCUGGAAUAUUUGUAAAGACCCAAUACAUCCCGAGACUCGCCGAGAUCUCCCAUCUCCUCUCCCUCAAAUAUAUCUGGAGCCGUUCGGAGGAAUCUUCGAGAGCAGCUGUUGAGUUAGCGAAGCAGCAUUUUCCUGGAGUGGAAUGUAAAUGGGGAGACCAAGGUCUAAACGACAUCAUCCAGGAUGCUUCUCUUAUCGGUACUGCUGUCGUUUUGGCUGGCCAAGUUCAGGUAGAUAUGUCACUGAAGUUGCUAAAAGCAGGGAAGCAUGUCAUUCAAGAGAAACCUGCAGCAACUGGUAUACCUGAGAUAGAAACUGCACUUGCUAGUUACAAGUCCAUUUGUACCAAACCUGGUCAACCAAUUUGGGCUGUAGCAGAAAACUAUCGCUUUGAACCUGCUUUUGUAGAGAGCAAGAAACUAGUGGCUGGUGCUGGAGAUAUGAUGAACGUCCAAGUUAUUAUUGAAGGGUCAAUGAACAGUUCAAACCCUUAUUUUUCUAGCUCUUGGAGGCGGAAUUUUGAGGGAGGUUUUAUUUUGGAUAUGGGAGUGCAUUACAUUGCUGGUUUGAGGAUGACGGUUGGUUGUGAGGUGGCUUCAGUUUCGGCUAUAACCUCUCAUGUAGAUAAAUCAUUACCUGCCCCAGACAUUAUUUCUUCUAACUUUAAGCUGGAGAACGGAUGCUCUGGAGUUUUUGUGAUGAUUGUUUCCUCUAGUUCACCUAAGAUAAUUUGGCGAGUUGUUGGGUCGAAAGGAACAGUACAAGUUGAACGAGGCAAAAUAGAUGGAAAGCAUGGUUACAUGACCACACUAUACAGUGCAGAUGGGCAAUGCAAAAGCACAUUCCACCCGUUUUGUGGAGUAAACGAAGAAUUAAAAGCUUUUAUACACGACAUUGAGCAAGCAUGCCUCGAGAAGGAAAAUGGCUAUGAAGCUGAACCUCGCAGCUCUUUCGUGGAAGGUGCCAGGGACGUUGCAGUUUUGGAGGCAAUGCUCGAAUCCGGAUCCAAGGGGGGAACCUUGGUUAAUGUGAAGAAAUUUUAGGAUUGCGCAUGGCCAUGGAUCUCUGUUUACCAGCAAGUGUUAUCAAUAAGAAUUUAUAUGAAUAGGAUUUGAAAUACAAUGACCAAAAUGUUUAUUCA